UACGUAGGUGGCAAGCGUUAUCCGGAAUUAUUGGGCGUAAAGAGCUCGUAGGCGGUUUGUCGCGUCUGCCGUGAAAGUCCGGGGCUCAACUCCGGAUCUGCGGUGGGUACGGGCAGACUAGAGUGCAGUAGGGGAGGACUGGAAUUCCUGGUGUAGCGGUGAAAUGCGCAGAUAUCAGGAGGAACACCGAUGGCGAAGGCAGGUCUCUGGGGCUGUAACUGACGCUGAGGAGCGAAAGCAUGGGGAGCGAACAGG
rnacentral:rRNA from 1 species